GCGGAUGUAGCCAAGUGGAUCAAGGCAGUGGAUUGUGAAUCCACCAUGCCG
rnacentral:tRNA from 1 species